rnacentral:tRNA from 1 species
GGCUCCGUAGCUUGGAGGAAAGAAGUGCCUGUCUAGCGAACUGGGAGUCGUGGGUCCGAUUCCCACCGGAGCAC